GAAGGCCCAACCCUGGCCUUGUCUUCUUUCUCCUCUUUGUGGAGAAGCUCACAGAUGUGGGUGCAGCAGAAGUGUGACUGCGGCCCACGGUGCCUCCCUGCGUCUUCUCACCUUCUCCUUGCCCUGCACUGUCACACCAGCCAAGGAACCACACAGCCUCCCCUCAAGGCAAAAAGCCGGGGUCAGGGGUCAACCUGCCAGCUGCCCACGCCAAGGGUUUGACAGCCUCAGCUAGGGCUCUCUAGGCUCCUCCUCUCCACAGUCUAUAACGGGGAGGAGGCCCGGGGCAAUGCUGCUGGCAGAGGAGGAGUGGGCUCUAGGUUAGGGAGAAGUGUGGCCGUGCACUGAAUUGCUCUUGGCAGUAGCUCAUUGAGACUAACUCGGGGGAAGGCACUGUUGGUCCUGGCCUGGAAAAACACGGAAGAGGGCUAGAGGGAGUGAGCUGCAGUGCAUUGCGGGCAGGGUCCUGCAGGCUCCCAGGGUCUCGGCCCCGAGAGACAGAACCCCUGCCCUGCCUGGCCGUAAAUUAGAUGAGGCUGAGAGGAGCAGGGGCUGGAGCUGGUUUUCUCGGAGCCUCUGCAGCGCUAGGCCUUAAGCACACAGCCCCUUCACUCUUCCCGGCCCAUGCACCAGGGAGAGGACACGAGGUGGAGUGGCCUGGCCUCUCUGUCCAUCCAAUCUCUGGCUGCAGUAGGAGAGAGGGCCCCUGCAUGCAUCAUCUUCAACUCCAAAGGGCUCCUAGGUUUGUGGGAAUUUCAGGCCAGGCAGGUGGUGGGAGAAGGAGACUGAGCUCAAGUUCUUCCCCUAAUCAGAGUGAAGAUCAAAACACCCUGCUCCUGAGUUCCCUGCAUCGGUACCUUCCCUGAGGACAGGAGACGGGGGACCAGGAUGGGGGAAUGUCAGGAGACAGCUGGGGUUGACUCCCAAGGCCCAGGUUACAGCCCCCUGCUCUCAGCCCCAUCUCAUGGUAGGCCCCUCCCCGGUGUGGGCCAGUCCAGCCUGCCCAAGUGAAAUGACCAGCGCGCCAGAAAGUUUAAUUUCAAGGUUUAAACAAUAAUAAGUAAUACAUACUGAAAACAAAACAUACAUAUGCCUCAGACCCAGUGACUCCACCCUAAACCCUAUGCCCAGAGGCAAGAAAUGCAUGCUUAUGUUCACCAAAAGAUGGAUACAGGUGAUCAGGGUGCUGUUCCUAAUAGUUCCAAACUGGAAACAGCCCUCCCAUCAACCAGAGAACACAUAAGCACAUUUGGCCUAUUUACAUGAUGGAAUAUUUACAUCAAAGUGAGAAUGAACUUACUACACGCUAUGUCAUGGAUGCAUCUCAUAGACGUGAAGUGAAUUAAGCCUGGCGUAAGAGCAUCAGACUACGAUUCCAUUCUCUGAUGCUCACAACAGACAAAGCUACUCCAGGGCCAGAGAAGGCAAGACCGUGGUUACGUGGGGGUGGAGAAUGAGUACAGUGGACUCAGGAUUUCUGGGGAUGCUCCAUCCAUCUCCUGUUCUGACUGUACGCUUUGAAAAUUCAUUUCAGCUGCAAAUGUAUGAUUUGUGUCUUUCUGUGGAGAUAUCACAUUUCGAGCAGAGCAGAUAAAGAACUACCAAUAUUCCCAGAGUCUGUAAUAGUCAAACCUGCCACAAACCUACAACCAGGCCUGAUGCAGACCCACUGGUCACAUUCACUGUGUCCAGCUGGGACUUCUGGAAUCUAAGAGACAGUGCCCAGCUGAAUUACAUAAGCCCCCAAAAGAACAAAACCACCUUUGCCAAAUUAUGAACAAUGAGUGAAACCUACCACGACUGGUGAAGGGGUGGCCUGUCCCUCCACACUUGUGGGCGUUUCUCGUCGGGUGGAACGAGAGACUUGAGAAAAGAAACACACAGAGACAAAGCGUAGAGAAAGAAAAGUGGGCCCAGGGAACCGGCGCUCAGCAUACGGAGGACCUGCGCCAGCACCAGUCUCUGAGUUCCCUCAGUAUUUAUUGAUCAUUAUUGGGUGUUUCUCGGAGAGGGGGAUGUGGCAGGACAAUAGGGUAAUAGUGGGGAGAGGGUCAGCAGGAAAACAUGUGAACAAAGGUCUCUGCAUCAUAAACAAGGUAAAGAAAAAAGUGCUGUGCUUUUGAUGUUCAUAUACACAAACAUCUCAAUGCCUUAAAGAGCAGUAUUGCUGCCAGCAUGUCCCACCUCCAGCCCUAAGGCGGUUUUCUCCUAUCUCAGUAGAUGGAGCAUACAAUCGGGUUUUACACCGAGACAUUCCAUUGCCCAGGUACGAGCAGGAGACAGAAGCCUUCCUCUUAUCUCAAAUGCAAAGAGGCCUUCCUCUUUUACUAAUCCUCCUCGACACAGACCCUUUACGGGUGUCGGGCUGGGGGACAGUCAGGUCUUUCCCUUCCCACGAGGCCAUAUUUCAGACUAUCACAUGGGGAGAAAUCUUGGACAAUACCUGGCUUUCCUCAGCAGAGGUCCCUGUGGGCUUCCGCAGUGUAUUGUGUCCCUGGGUACUUGAGAUUAGGGAGUGGUGAUGACUCUCAACGAGCAUGCUGCCUUCAAGCAUCUGUUUAACAAAGCACAUCCUGCACCGCCCUUAAUCCAUUUAACCCUGAGUGGACACAGCACAUGUUUCAGAGAGCACGGGGUUGGGGCUAGGGUUACAGAUUAACAGCAUCUCAAGGCAGAAGAAUUUUUCUUAGUACAGAACAAAAUGGAGUCUCUUAUGUCUACUUCUUUCUACAUAGACACAGUAACAGUCUGAUCUCUUUCUUUUCCCCACAGACUGGCCCACCUGGCUUCUAACCUCAUAGGCUGUUUUGGUAUUUUUCUCUUGGUUAUUCUAGCACAGAGGCCAAAAUAACUAUGAGAGGGAUUUAGUUUAUAGUUAAACUUGGAGGCAAGGGAAACGAACCCCCUCCACCCCAUCCAGAGAUUCGGGCUGCAUUCACAUGACAAGAGUCUUGCUCAGUCACCCAGGCUGUAGUGCAGUGGCACGAUCUCAGCUCACUGCAGCCGCCACCUCCCAGGUUCAAGCGAUUCUCCUGCCUCAGCCUCCCGAGUAGCUGAGACUACAGAGCACCAUGGCCUGGCAAGAUCCGACGUUUUCCAAGGAUCCUGGCUGAGCUCCUGUGGAACCUGCUUCUUACACUGAUGUGGUCCCUCGGCUGGCAGGCCCUUCUGCGGCCAACCAGGUGACACCUGCCAGUUAUGAGGGACAGGUAGGAGAGGAUGGGCUUUCCAUAAAAAAAAAAAAAAAAAGGUAAGUUUUUCCAAACUGCUUUUCUUUCAAAUUUUAAUCUUAAGACUAACCUACAUUAAUUUCUUAUUUUUAUCUCAUAAAGUCCAGAAUUUCUGAUAAUUUCAGUUCUUUUCCAGAGUGCAAAGAAGCAUUGGCUCUUCAGGUAUUAUGUUUAACAUUUUGCAGGAAUUGCUUUACUCUAUAGACAAAUAAACUACAAAUUUGAGACUUAUUUCCUGUGUCAGUAAAUGUGAACGCUUUGACUAAUUUCUCAAGUGUGUUGUUUUGACAGUGAGGCAGAUAGCCUGCUGUUUUGGGUCAAACCUACGUAAAUGUACAUGACCCCAGCAAGUACCACUGAAGACAUUUUGGGAUAUUUUCUCUAAAUUGAUCUUAUCUCAUUUACCAGUUGGAUGUGCUCUUGCUUUUUCUGCUCCUCUACUCAUUUCUAGUCCCCUUUUUUAAUUCUUUAAAAAAUCUUUUUGCCUCAAUUUUUUUGUUGCCCCUAAGGGCAUUGUGUUGGACUGCUGAUGCCAUUUACCAUUAAUAACUUUCUGGUCUCUGAACUAAAAAAAUAAACUUUUUUUUCUUUAGAGAUUCUAGAUUCAGCAGAGGAAUUCACAGCAAGAGUUGAUGUAGAAGUUGACAACCAAGGCCAGGCGCGGUGGCUCACGCCUGUAAUCCCAGCACUUUGGGAGGCCGAGGUGGGUGGAUCACGAGGUCAGAAGAUGGAGACCAUCCUGGCUAACAUGGUGAAACCCCGUCUCUACUGAAAAUACAAAAAUUAGCCAGGCGUGGUGGCGGCGCCUGUAGUCCCAGCUACUCAGGAGGCUGAGGCAGGAGAAUGGCGUGAACCUGGGAGGCAGAGCUUGCAGUGAGCCGAGAUCGCGCCACUGCACUCCAGCCUGGGCAAGAGAGCGAGACUCUGUUUCAAACAAACAAACAAAAGAAGUUGAGAACCAAAACCCUCCACCAGUUCUUAGAAGCGAUCUCCAAGCAAGAGCAGGAAGAGCAGGGAUCCACACUCUGAAGGACUUACAGGUGCCCUCAGUCCUCCCCUCUGCCAUCAUUGUCUUGCAUUCAGGAUGAUUCCUCUUUAAAGGUGACAGUUUAUUUAAAUGUCUGUGUUGCCCCAUCUUCUAGAUGAUGCAGUUUUGUCCAUCACAGAUUCAUCCACGAAGGAGCAUUUACCUUUGAGAAAAGCUGGGGACAUUGAAGUUUACUUAGAUAUCAAUGCAUGAGUUUCUGUCGGAGCACCAUAAAGUCAUGUUUCCUGAGACUGUGAGGGGUCUCUGUCAUCUGAGGGCCCCGCUGCUGCCUGCCUGCCAGCGUGCCCGAGGAUCAGAUGACGGAAUUGAUCAGAGUUUUUAAAAUCUAGGUGUUCCACUUGUGUGAAAUAUAUGCUAUGGUGCUCCAAGUUGAGUCCACUGUCUUGAACAUGAACAUCAAGUUGUAGACUGCUUCCUGAAAUGUGCAUGUCAUCCUGAGACCUGAGGGUGAACAGCAGGGGGCUAGUGAGUGCAAAUUGAGGGUGGGGUGGGUGAGAGAUAAGGUUUGUUAUGGAAGAAUAAGAAGGAAAAAAAUACGUUUUCUGAGAAAACAGGACAAGUUGAGACUGUAAUGGACCAGAAGGAUGCGACAAAUAACCUGUCCUGGUAAAUGAGAAAGGCACCUAAGGCAGGAGUCACUGAGGGACAGCUCCGUUUCUGUAAGUAACCAUUUAGCUACGGUUAAGUCAGUAUUUAAGUUCCACAACCAGGAAGUCACUUUUCAGUGGUUCCAGAGAAUCUAUGCCCUAAAACUGGAGAAGAACAUGAGGUGAUAGUUUCAUUGUCUCCAAAGGGUCCCCAAGCCUGCAAGGAAAGGUAACAGAACAAUGUUUAUAACAAAUUUCUCACUCUUGUCACCCAGGCUGGAGUGCAGAGGCGGGGCAAGAGUGAGCCUCCAUCUCAAAAAAAAAAAAAGAAAAAAAAAAAAAAAGAAAAGAAAAAUAAUUUGUUGACCUCCUGGGUUACACCCAAUAAAGAAUAGUAGAGUUUGCCGGGCGCGGUGGCUCACGCCUGUAACCCCAGCACUCUGGGAGGCCGAGGCGGGCGGAUCACGAGGUCAGGAGAUCCAGACCAUCCUGGCUAACACGGUGAAACCCCGUCUCUACUAAAAAUACAAAAAAUUAGCCGGGCGUGGUGGCGGGUGCCUGUAGUCCCAGCUACUCGGGAGGCUGAGGCAGGAGAAUGGCGUGAACCCGGGAGGCGGAGCUUGCAGUGAGCCGAGAUGGCGCCACCGCACUCCAGCCUGGGUGACAGGGCGAGACUCCGUCUCAAAAACAAAAAAACAAAAAACAACAACAAAAAAACCCAUAAUAGUAGUGAUAAGGCCGGUGCGGUGGCUCAUGCCUGUAACCCCAGCACUUUGGGAGGCCAAGGCGGGCGGAUCACGAGGUCAGGAGUUUGAGACCAGCCUGGCCAACACGGUGAAACCCCGUCUCUACUAAAAAUACAAAAAUUAGCCGGGCGUGGUAGCGGGCGCCUGUAAUCUUCUCAGACACCCAACCACCGGCUCCUCAGCCGGGGCAACUCCCUGUAAGAUGACGGCACCUUUUCACGGCCCCCCACCCUGCCCCAAAUCCCCGAUCCAAACCCCAACCCGCGAUCCCAAAUCUGCGAUCUAGCCCAGAAUCCGCGAUCCAGCCGGGUCCACCACAGCCUUCAGCAGCGAUACUCGCAGCCUCCGACCUCUCAGACCCAGUGAGCCUCGCAAGGCCAUUAGCAGCGCGCCUGCACCGCGGGGGCCGCCCGGCUCCCAGAAGCCGCUCCCAGGCGGCGCGCCGGCAGGUGGGGCUGCAGCCCGGGGCAGGCGCCGCUGGGCUCGCGGGUUCUCCUGCGCUGGUCCCGGCUGCCCCGGGACCACAGGCGCAGGAUCGCAGGCGCGCAGCCCGCCCGGCCUCAGGAGCAGGGCCUGUCUGGCCGUGCGGCCCCACUUAAUCUUAAUAGCAAAUAAAACUCAGCAGUAUGCUGUGGUAUAUUCUAUAAUGAUUCUACACAAUUGUAGAUUGCAUUAGAAUAAUGUUUUUUAAAAUUAUUUUCUUGGUAACAAAUGGA